UAUAGAUACAACAUCCUGCUGAAACAAGGAUCGUAUCGCUCUGUUGUUGAAUGGACCAAAAGAGAAACAAAUCGUUCCUACUGAUGAGUCAACAGGGUCAACAGAAGGUCGGCUCUGAGGGUCAGGUCUUUCCUACUGAUGAGUCAACAGGGUCAAUAGAAGGUCGGCUCUGAGGGUCAGGUCUUUCCUACUGAUGAGUCAACAGGGUCAAUAGAAGGUAGGCUCUGAGGGUCAGGUCUUUCCUACUGAUGAGUCAACAGGGUCAAUAGAAGGUAGGCUCUGAGGGUCAGGUCUUUCCUACUGAUGAGUCAACAGGGUCAAUAGAAGGUAGGCUCUGAGGGUCAGGUCUUUCCUACUGAUGAGUCAACAGGGUCAAUAGAAGAUAGGCUCUGAGGGUCAGGUCUUUCCUACUGAUGAGUCAACAGGGUCAAUAGAAGGUAGGCUCUGAGGGUCAGGUCUUUCCUACUGAUGAGUCAACAGGGUCAAUAGAAGGUAGGCUCUGAGGGUCAGGUCUUUCCUACUGAUGAGUCAACAGGGUCAAUAGAAGGUAGGCUCUGAGGGUCAGGUCUUUCCUACUGAUGAGUCAACAGGGUCAAUAGAAGGUAGGCUCUGAGGGUCAGGUCUUUCCUACUGAUGAGUCAACAGGGUCAAUAGAAGGUAGGCUCUGAGGGUCAGGUCUUUCCUACUGAUGAGUCAACAGGGUCAAUAGAAGGUAGGCUCUGAGGGUCAGGUCUUUCCUACUGAUGAGUCAACAGGGUCAAUAGAAGAUAGGCUCUGAGGGUCAGGUCUUUCCUACUGAUGAGUCAACAGGGUCAAUAGAAGAUAGGCUCUGAGGGUCAGGUCUUUCCUACUGAUGAGUCAACAGGGUCAAUAGAAGGUAGGCUCUGAGGGUCAGGUCUUUCCUACUGAUGAGUCAACAGGGUCAACAGAAGGUCGGCUCUGAGG